rnacentral:misc_RNA from 1 species
UUGAAUAACUUGGUGUUGAGCUGGCCCUAUUGGGCAUGUGCUCGCAUCAUAUUAUUUAUCUAUCUCUUGUGCACCUUUUGUAGUCUUUGAAGUGUUCGCAGUCAAUGCGGUUUGGGGCUUGGGCUUUGCGGUCCUUUCCCUGUUUGCUUCAAAGGCUAUGUUUUAUACACACUAUUUGAAGUUACAGAAUGUCUCUUAUUGACCUUUGUGUCAGUAAAUCAAUA